rnacentral:rRNA from 1 species
GAUGAACGCUGGCGGCGUGCCUAAUACAUGCAAGUCGAGCGAACGGACGAGAAGCUUGCUUCUCUGAUGUUAGCGGCGGACGGGUGAGUAACACGUGGAUAACCUACCUAUAAGACUGGGAUAAAUUCGGGAAACCGGAGCUAAUACCGGGUAAUAUUUUGAACCGCAUGGUUCAAAAGUGAAAGACGGGCUUGCUGUCACUUAUAGAUUGAUCCGCGCUGCAUUAGCUAGUUGGUAAGGUAACGGCUUACCAAGGCAACGAUGCAUAGCCGACCUGAGAGGGUGAUCGGCCACACUGGAACUGAGACACGGUCCAGACUCCUACGGGAGGCAGCAGUAGGGAAUCUUCCGCAAUGGGCGAAAGCCUGACGGAGCAACGCCGCGUGAGUGAUGAAGGUCUUCGGAUCGUAAAACUCUGUUAUUAGGGAAGAACAUAUGUGUAAGUAACUGUGCACAUCUUGACGGUACCUAAUCAGAAAGCCACGGCUAACUACGUG